rnacentral:rRNA from 1 species
UUCCCUACGGGAGGCAGCAGUGGGGGAUAUUGCACAAUGGGGGGAACCCUGAUGCAGCGACGCCGCGUGGGUGAAGAAGCGCCUCGGCGCGUAAAGCCCUGUCAGCAGGGAAGAAAAUGACGGUACCUGAAGAAGAAGCCCCGGCUAACUACGUGCCAGCAGCCGCGGUAAUACGUAGGGGGCAAGCGUUAUCCGGAUUUACUGGGUGUAAAGGGAGCGUAGACGGCGAUGCAAGUCUGAAGUGAAAGGCGGGGGCCCAACCCCCGGACUGCUUUGGAAACUGUAUGGCUGGAGUG